rnacentral:rRNA from 1 species
AUUGAACGCUGGCGGCAGGCCUAACACAUGCAAGUCGAGCGGGGUUUUCGGACCUAGCGGCGGACGGGUGAGUAAUGCGUAGGAAGCUACCCGAUAGAGGGGGACACCAGUUGGAAACGACUGUUAAUACCGCAUAAUGUCUACGGACCAAAGUGUGGGACCUUCGGGCCACAUGCUAUCGGAUGCGCCUACGUGGGAUUAGCUAGUUGGGGGGGUAAUGGCUCACCAAGGCGACGAUCCCUAGCUGGUUGGAGAGGAUGAUCAGCCACACUGGAACUGAGACACGGUGCAGACUCCUACGGGAGGCGGCAGUGGGGAAUAUUGGACAAUGGGCGCAAGCCUGAUCCAGCCAUGCCGCGUGUGUGAAGAAGGCCUUCGGGUUGCAAAGCACUUUCAGUAGGGAGGAAGGGUGUUGUGUUAAUAGCACAGCAUUUUGACGUUACCUACAGAAGAAGCACCGGCUAACUCUGUGCCAGCCGCCGCCGUAACAC